UUCGGGGUGAGUGGCAGACGGGUGAGUAACACGUGGGAACGUACCUUUCAGUUCGGAAUAACCCAGGGAAACUUGGGCUAAGACCGGAUACGCCCUUUUGGGGAAAGAUUUAUCGCUGAGAGAUCGGCCCGCGUCUGAUUAGCUAGUUGGUGAGGUAAAGGCUCACCAAGGCGACGAUCAGUAGCUGGUCUGAGAGGAUGAUCAGCCACAUUGGGACUGAGACACGGCCCAGACUCCUACGGGAGGCAGCAGUGGGGAAUAUUGGACAAUGGGCGCAAGCCUGAUCCAGCAAUGCCGCGUGAGUGAUGAAGGCCUUAGGG
rnacentral:rRNA from 1 species